rnacentral:rRNA from 1 species
GACGAACGCUGGCGGCGUGCUUAACACAUGCAAGUCGAACGGAAAGGCCCUGCUUUUGUGGGGUGCUCGAGUGGCGAACGGGUGAGUAACACGUGAGUAACCUGCCCUUGACUUUGGGAUAACUUCAGGAAACUGGGGCUAAUACCGGAUAGGAGCUCCUGCUGCAUGGUGGGGGUUGGAAAGUUUCGGCGGUUGGGGAUGUACUCGCGGCUUAUCAGCUUGUUCGUGGGGGAGUGGCUUACCAAGUCUUUGACGGGUAGCCGGCCUGAGAGGGUGACCGGCCACAUUGGGACUGAGAUCCGGCCCACACUACUCCGGGAGGGAGCAGUGAGGAAUAUUGCACACUGGGCGGAAGCCUGAUGCAGCAACGACGCGUGCGGGAUGACGGCCUUCGGGUUGUAAUCCGCUUUCGCCUGUGCCGAAGCGUGAGUGACGGUAAUGGGUAACGAAGCACCGGCUAACUCCGUG